rnacentral:lncRNA from 1 species
GAGGGCUGCUGGCUUUAGGACAGCAUUAAGCCUGAGCUAAUGGACUUUGCCAGGGAGCAAGGACUCCCUGAGGCGCAAGAGGACUUCUGACCUGGACUGACCUCUCAGGCUAUGAGAGUUUCCUCAGUAUCCCGGGUACCCAGCACGGCGACCAGCACAGUGAAGACACCAACUAACGUUCUUUGGCAGAACUGAAUGAACGGCUGUGUGAAUGAGUUUGCAGGGCAGACUGCCUGAGAGCCUCCCCACCAGCCACCGAGCCCAUAACGCUCGCAAGCCGUUUCCUGAUGAGUGUUUUCCCGUUUUAUGGAUCUUGGUAAUUUCGGUUGGUAUCAUGACAUGGAGGAGGAAAGAGAAUGCCUUUUCUGUCCUGCUGUGUGAAUGGCAGCCUGUGAGGGCCAAAUCUGCCGCUCCAGGAAGGGCCUUUUCAUUUUCCUCACCUGUUCUGAAGCUUGGACCGGCAGCUGAGUGAGGCCGAUGCCAGGACCCGUGAGGAGGUUGACUAAACAUGGACAAAUCUUAUUAAGGUCAUUAAGGAGCUGUAUUUACUCAGGAAUGAAUGUCAAGCCUGGGCUGGGUAGAUACUCCUUUGUUUUAAAAAUGGGUUGGAGGGGGAUUCUGGGGUGGGCAAAAUGGGUGAUGAGGGUCAAAAGAUACAGACUUCCUGUUAUAAAAUAAACAAAUCCUGGGAAUGUAAUGUACAGCAUGGUGAAUGCAGUUACUAAUACUGUAUCAGAUGUCUGAAUGUUGCUAAGAGUAAAUCCUCAAAAUUCUCACAAGAAAAGAAAUUUGUAACUACGUAGAGUGGUGGAUGGUAACUCGGAUUAUUGUGGUAAUCAUUUCACAAUACAUACGAAUUUCAAAUCAUUAUGUUGUACACCUGAAACUAAUAUAUAGC